rnacentral:rRNA from 1 species
UACGUAGGGACCAAGCGUUGUCCAGAAUCAUUGGGCGUAAAGAGCGUGUAGGCGGCCUGUUAAGUCUUGCGUGAAAUCUCGGGGGCUCAACCCCCGAGCGGUCGUGAGAAACUGCCGGGCUCGAGUCCGGAAGAGGCGAGUGGAAUUCCCGGUGUAGCGGUGAAAUGCGUAGAGAUCGGAAAGAACACCAACGGCGAAAGCACUCUGCUGGGCCGACACUGACACUGAGAGACGAAAGCUAGGGGGAGCGAAUGGG